UACGUAGGGUGCAAGCGUUAAUCGGAAUUACUGGGCGUAAAGCGUGCGCAGGCGGUUUUGUAAGUCUGACGUGAAAUCCCCCGGGCUUAACCUGGGAACUGCAUUGGUGACUGGCAGGCUUUGAGUGUGGCAGAGGGAGGUAGAAUUCCACGUGUAGCAGUAAAAAUGCGUAGAGAUGUGGAGGAAUACCGAUGGCGAAGGCAGCCUCCUGGGCCAACACUGACGCUCAUGCACGAAAGCGUGGGGAGCAAACAGG
rnacentral:rRNA from 1 species